UCGAACGGACCCUUCGGGGUCAGUGGCGGACGGCUGAGUAACGCGUGGGUAACCUACCCAUGAGUGGGGAAUAACCCUCCGAAAGGAGGGCUAAUACCGCAUACGACCACGGAUCUGCGGAUUCGUGAGGAAAGUCGCAAGACGCUCGUGGAGGGGCCCGCGUCCGAUUAGCUAGUUGGUGAGGUAACGGCCCACCAAGGCGUCGAUCGGUAGCUGGUCUGAGAGGAUGAUCAGCCAGACUGGGACUGUGACACGGCCCAGACUCCUACGGGAGGCAGCAGUUAGGAAUCUUGGGCAAUGGGCGAAAGCCUGACCCAGCAACGCCGCGUGGGUGACGAAGGCCUUCGGGUCGUAAAGCCCUUUUCCACGGGAAGAUAAUGACGGUACCGUGGGAAUAAGCCCCGGCUAACUACGUGCCAGCAGCCGCG
rnacentral:rRNA from 1 species